rnacentral:rRNA from 1 species
GAUGAACGCUGGCGGCGUGCUUAACACAUGCAAGUCGAACGGAAAGGCCUCUGCUUGCAGGGGUACUCGAGUGGCGAACGGGUGAGUAACACGUGGGUGAUCUGCCCUGCACUUCGGGAUAAGCAUGGGAAACUGGGUCUAAUACCGGAUAGGACAAUGGUUUGGAUGCUGUUGUGGAAAGUUUUUCGGUGUGGGAUGAGCUCGCGGCCUAUCAGCUUGUUGGUGGGUAAUGGCCUACCAAGGCGUUGAAGGGUAGCCGGCCUGAGAGGGUGUAAGGCCACAUUGGGACUGAGAUACGGCCCAGACUCCGACGGGAUGCAGCAGUGGGGAAUAUUGCACAAUGGGCGCAAGCCUGAUGCAGCGACGCCGCGUGGGGGAUGACGGCCUUCGGGUUGUAAACUCCUUUCGCUAGGGACGAAGCGUUUUUGUGACGGUACCUGGAGAAGAAGCACCGGCUAACUACGUG